ACGAACGCUGGCGGCGUGCUUAACACAUGCAAGUCGAACGGAAAGGCCCUGCUUUUGUGGGGUGCUCGAGUGGCGAACGGGUGAGUAACACGUGAGUAACCUGCCCUUGACUUUGGGAUAACUUCAGGAAACUGGGGCUAAUACCGGAUAGGAGCUCCUGCUGCAUGGUGGGGGUUGGAAAGUUUCGGCGGUUGGGGAUGGACUCGCGGCUUAUCAGCUUGUUGGUGGGGUAGUUGCUUACCAAGGCUUUGACGGGUAGCCGGCCUGAGAGGGUGACCGGCCACAUUGGGACUGAGAUACGGCCCAGACUCCUACGGGAGGCAGCAGUGGGGAAUAUUGCACAAUGGGCGGAAGCCUGAUGCAGCAACGCCGCGUGCGGGAUGACGGCCUUCGGGUUGUAAACCGCUUUCGCCUGUGACGAAGCGUGAGUGACGGUAAUGGGUAAAGAAGCACCGGCUAACUACGUG
rnacentral:rRNA from 1 species